rnacentral:rRNA from 1 species
AUACGGAGGGUGCAAGCGUUAUCCGGAUUUAUUGGGUUUAAAGGGUGCGCAGGCGGAUAAUUAAGUCAGUGGUGAAAUCCUCCCGCUCAACGGGAAACUGCCAUUGAUACUGGUAAUCUUGAGUUCGGUUGAAGUGGGCGGAAUGUAGCAUGUAGCGGUGAAAUGCAUAGAUAUGCUACAGAACACCGAUAGCGAAGGCAGCUCACUAAGCCGACACUGACGCUCAGGCACGAAAGCGUGGGUAGCGAACAGGAUUAGAAACCCCAGUAGUCC